CAGUGAACAGAGAAGAAAUAAGUCUUGGUAUAUAACAGAAUAAACCUCCAACUGGAUUAGAGGGAGAGUACGGGUAAAAUCCUCAUGCUGCUUAGGAAGAAGUUCUGUUGCCCUUGGCUCUGGGAGUUUGAAUUUAAAACAGAAACACCCUAAGCUGAGCAUGGUGCCACAUGCCUGCAAUCCCAGCGUCGGGAAAGCAGAGGAGGAAGUACAGAACUGUCGGUUGCAAGAGGACAGGAUGCUGGGACCCUUCUCACUGCAGCCUUUUGUCCCUCCCCUCCCCCACAAGGUGAAGAUCAGGAGUCCCCAUUAGGCAGGCACGCAGGGAGCAGCCACCUUUAAGCAGUAGGUCAGCCAUAGGGCUGGCUAUGGCGAUGCCCAUGGGGGCUCCCACAGCUCUCAUAGAUGUAAACGUUCUUUCUGUCCUGACCUCUGUUUGCCUGUCUGGAAAACAGGGACACUUAGUAAGAGUUGACGGGCCCAGGGCACAGGUUAUUAUGCCCUCAGGUCUCUGUGUGUGCUGGUAACAAGCCUCCUGUGAACAUCAAACCCCGCUGAUGCUCCGCUCAGACAGACUCAAGUUGUGGGUGUUAGGCAGCCACUGGACAGCUCAGUCCAGGUUGGCGAUGGGGGUGGCCUGGGGGCAGCUCCUAACCCAAUAUAACCUUC